AAUAUUUCGCAAUGGAGGAAACGCCGCCGCAGCGACGCCGCGUGAGCGAUGAAGGUCUUCGGAUCGUAAUGCCCUGUCCUUUGGGAAGAAGGUCUCCGGACAUGACGGUACGCAUGUAGGAAGCCCUGCGGAACUACUUUCCAGUAGCCACGGUAAUACGUAGGGGGCAAGCGUUAUCCGGAAUUAUUGGGCGUAAAGGGUGCGUAGUCGGCAUUUUAAGUCAGAUGUGAAAGCCCACGGCUCAACCGUGGGAUUGCAUUUGAAACUGGAGGGCUUGAGUAUCGGAGAGGGUAGUGGAAUUCCCAGUGUAGCGGUGAAAUUCGUAGAUAUUCGGAGGAACACCAGUGGCGAAGGCGGCUCACUGGCUCGGUACUGACGCUGAGGUGCGAAAGCGUGGGGAGCAAAC
rnacentral:rRNA from 1 species